CAAAGCAUUGCGAUGGUCCC
rnacentral:sRNA from 1 species